rnacentral:rRNA from 1 species
AGAGUUUGAUCCUGGCUCAGGAUGAACGCUAGCUACAGGCUUAACACAUGCAAGUCGAGGGGCAGCAUGGUCUUAGCUUGCUAAGGCCGAUGGCGACCGGCGCACGGGUGAGUAACACGUAUCCAACCUGCCGUCUACUCUUGGACAGCCUUCUGAAAGGAAGAUUAAUACAAGAUGGCAUCAUGAGUCCGCAUGUUCACAUGAUUAAAGGUAUUCCGGUAGACGAUGGGGAUGCGUUCCAUUAGAUAGUAGGCGGGGUAACGGCCCACCUAGUCUUCGAUGGAUAGGGGUUCUGAGAGGAAGGUCCCCCACAUUGGAACUGAGACACGGUCCAAACUCCUACGGGAGGCAGCAGUGAGGAAUAUUGGUCAAUGGGCGCAGGCCUGAACCAGCCAAGUAGCGUGAAGGAUGACUGCCCUAUGGGUUGUAAACUUCUUUUAUAAAGGAAUAAAGUCGGGUAUGCAUACCCGUUUGCAUGUACUUUAUGAAUAAGGAUCGGCUAACUCCGUGCCAGCAGCCGCGGUAAUACGGAGGAUCCGAGCGUUAUCCGGAUUUAUUGGGUUUAAAGGGAGCGUAGAUGGAUGUUUAAGUCAGUUGUGAAAGUUUGCGGCUCAACCGUAAAAUUGCAGUUGAUACUGGAUAUCUUGAGUGCAGUUGAGGCAGGCGGAAUUCGUGGUGUAGCGGUGAAAUGCUUAGAUAUCACGAAGAACUCCGAUUGCGAAGGCAGCCUGCUAAGCUGCAACUGACAUUGAGGCUCGAAAGUGUGGGUAUCAAACAGGAUUAGAUACCCUGGUAGUCCACACGGUAAACGAUGAAUACUCGCUGUUUGCGAUAUACGGCAAGCGGCCAAGCGAAAGCGUUAAGUAUUCCACCUGGGGAGUACGCCGGCAACGGUGAAACUCAAAGGAAUUGACGGGGGCCCGCACAAGCGGAGGAACAUGUGGUUUAAUUCGAUGAUACGCGAGGAACCUUACCCGGGCUUAAAUUGCAGAUGAAUUACGGUGAAAGCCGUAAGCCGCAAGGCAUCUGUGAAGGUGCUGCAUGGUUGUCGUCAGCUCGUGCCGUGAGGUGUCGGCUUAAGUGCCAUAACGAGCGCAACCCUUGUUGUCAGUUACUAACAGGUUCCGCUGAGGACUCUGACAAGACUGCCAUCGUAAGAUGUGAGGAAGGUGGGGAUGACGUCAAAUCAGCACGGCCCUUACGUCCGGGGCUACACACGUGUUACAAUGGGGGGUACAGAGGGCCGCUACCACGCGAGUGGAUGCCAAUCCCAAAAACCUCUCUCAGUUCGGACUGGAGUCUGCAACCCGACUCCACGAAGCUGGAUUCGCUAGUAAUCGCGCAUCAGCCACGGCGCGGUGAAUACGUUCCCGGGCCUUGUACACACCGCCCGUCAAGCCAUGGGAGCCGGGGGUACCUGAAGUGCGUAACCGCGAGGAGCGCCCUAGGGUAAAACUGGUGACUGGGGCUAAGUCGUAACAAGGUAGCCGUACCGGAAGGUGCGGCUG